rnacentral:rRNA from 1 species
GCGCCUUGCCAGCCCGCUCAGAAACUUAAAGGAAUUGACGGGGGCCCGCACAAGCGGUGGAGCAUGUGGUUUAAUUCGAUGAUACGCGAGGAACCUUACCUGGGCUCAAAUGUAUGUUGACGUAUUCUGAAAGGGAUACUUCUUCGGACAAUAUACAAGGUGCUGCAUGGUUGUCGUCAGCUCGUGCCGUGAGGUGUCGGGUUAAGUCCCAUAACGAGCGCAACCCCUAUCAUUAGUUGCCAUCAGGUCAAGCUGGGGACUCUAAUGAAACUGCCUACGCAAGUAGUGAGGAAGGUGGGGAUGACGUCAAAUCAGCACGGCCCUUACGUCCAGGGCU